rnacentral:rRNA from 1 species
UGCGUAGGUGGUUUUGUAAGUAACAUGUGAAAGUCCUGGGCUUAACCUGGGGAUGGCGUGUUAAACUGCAGAGCUAGAGUGUCGUAGAGGAUAGCGGAAUUUCCGGUGUAGCGGUGAAAUGCGUAGAUAUCGGAAGGAACAUCAGUGGCGAAGGCGGCUAUCUGGACAACAACUGACACUGAGGCACGAAAGCGUGGGGGAGCAAACA